UACAGAGGUCUCAAGCGUUGUUCGGAUUCAUUGGGCGUAAAGGGUGCGUAGGUGGUUAGGUAAGUCCGAUGUGAAAUCUCCAGGCUCAACCUGGAAAUGGCAUUGGAUACUAUCUAGCUUGAGGAGUGGAGGGGGGACUGGAAUUCUCGGUGUAGCAGUGAAAUGCGUAGAUAUCGAGAGGAACACCAGUGGCGAAGGCGAGUCCCUGGACACUUCCUGACACUGAGGCACGAAAGCUAGGGGAGCAAACAGG
rnacentral:rRNA from 1 species